rnacentral:rRNA from 1 species
AAUCAACGCUGGCGGCGUGCCUAACACAUGCAAGUCGCACGAGAAAGUGGAGCAAUCCAUGAGUACAGUGGCGCACGGGUGAGUAACACGUGAAUCAUCUACCUCCGAGUGGGGAAUAACCUAGGGAAACCUGGGCUAAUACCGCAUAACACUUACGAGUCAAAGCAGCAAUGCGCUUGGAGAGGAGUUCGCGGCAGAUUAGCUAGUUGGGGGGUAAUGGCCUACCAAGGCGAUGAUCUGUAUCCGGCCUGAGAGGGCGCACGGACACACUGGAACUGAAACACGGUCCAGACUCCUACGGGAGGCAGCAGUGGGGAAUUUUGCGCAAUGGGGGAAACCCUGACGCAGCAACGCCGCGUGGAGGAUGAAAUCCCUUGGGAUGUAAACUCCUUUCGAUCGGGACGAUUAUGACGGUACCGGAAGAAGAAGCCCCGGCUAACUUCGUGCCAGCCGCCGCAGUAAC